GCCGCUCUAGCCGGCGACGGCAGGGGUGGGCGGCGCAAGAUGGCGGACGAGGGGACUGUUUGCAGCUUCGUUUUCAAGAAGCGGGGCCUGGCGGCGGGUAGGGGUCGGCGUAAGCGGCCCAGCAGCGAUCAGGAGCAGGAGAGCAGCGGUGAGGAGGGCAGCACGGUGGUGCGGAAGGAGCGGCGGCGGGAGACCCCCAACCCAAUGAUCCAGAAGACCAGGAGAUGCGCAAAGGAGAGGCCUGCCUACGCGCUGAGCAGCAGUGACGAUGAGGAUCCAUCAAAGGAGAUAGGAGUCACUUACAAAUCGACAAGGUCGGCGAAACCUGUUGGCCCAGAAGAUAUGGGAGCCACAGCAGUGUAUGAACUGGACACGGAGAAGGAGAAAGAUGCCCAGGCCAUCUUCGAGCGCAGCCAGAAAAUCCAGGAGGAGCUGAGAGGAAAGGAAGAUGAUAAAAUUUACCGUGGUAUUAACAACUACCAGAAGUAUGUGAAGCCCAAGGACACAUCGAUGGGAAAUGCCUCUUCAGGAAUGGUCAGAAAAGGACCCAUCCGUGCUCCGGAGCACUUGCGGGCCACGGUGCGAUGGGACUACCAGCCUGAUAUCUGCAAGGACUACAAAGAAACUGGGUUUUGCGGCUUUGGAGACAGCUGCAAAUUCCUCCACGACCGCUCGGACUACAAACACGGCUGGCAGAUUGAACGGGAACUGGAUGAAGGCCGGUACGGAGUCAAUGAUGAGGAAAACUAUGAGGUGAGCAGCGAUGAGGAGGAUAUGCCUUUCAAAUGCUUCAUCUGCAGAAGUUCCUUCAAGAACCCCGUGGUCACCAAGUGUAGGCACUACUUCUGUGAGAGUUGUGCCCUCCAACACUAUCGCAAAUCCCAGCGCUGCUAUGUCUGUGACAAGCAAACCAAUGGAGUCUUCAACCCAGCAAAAGAGCUCAUGGCAAAACUGGAAAAACACAAAGGGGAGGAAGAGGAGGAACAGCAGCAUUCAGACCAUGCAGAGGAUCCACAAUAGCAGGGCACCCUGUUUUGUAUCUAGCUGAAUAAAGCUUUCAUGGGAGGAAAAAAAAAAAAAAAAAAAAAAGCUCACAGCAGUUGCCUUGGGGCCAGCAGCUGUAGCCAGGCAUUGUGUAUCCAACCAGCAGCUACUAAAACAGUGUCCUGACUGUGACGGACUCCUUGUUUGCUGCCCUGUGAAGGCAUAAGGCAGAACAGAUUAACUGAGUUCCUUACCUGCUUGAAAAAGGGAUGAUUAAGCAGAGUGCCUGCGCUUGGCCUGUGGAAGGGAGUUAGAAUAAAGUAAGCACACAAGAAAAUGCAUCAGUGUUUAAAGUCAGGUAGUGAAAGAAAGAAAAGACCGGGGUCCUUCCUGCCUCUCUCAUUUCUCAGCUAUAGGAUAUCUCCCUUUUGUAACCAGUAGCACUGUAUAUUAUGUUCACAUGAUGUUUUAUGCAAGCAGUUCAACCUUCUUCUGAAGAAGUUACCUACUUGCACACCCCAACAUUUGGUCAAGGAAGAGUUUCUGAACAGUGUGGUAUGCUGGGGCAGUUUGUCAUGGCUAAAGAUGACUUUACACUCACUACAGAGGAAAAUACAGUUCUUGACGAUUUCCCAUUAUUAUUCUCUGCUGGCUGAACAGCCGACAUUCACAGUGAUGGAAACUGGGUAACCUGUCUCACAGGGACCAGAAAUUCAAGUUGUACUGUUUAUUUUCCUGACAUGUAGCGCCACUCUACCCCCCAAAGAAGGCUGCAAAGUAAUUCUUCAGGCUCUCUUAUAGAAAGUGCUCAAGGUGUUAACACUGCUCUUGUUUUACAUACUUGGACUGCUCUUCUCAAUGUAUGGAGCACAUCCUCACUCCACUAUGCUUUUGGAAAGAAAAUUUCAAACAACCUCUGCUAGCUCUCAUGGUUUAAUCCGCUCUAGCAGCUUUCAUCUGGCUUUACCUGAAAUCGGGGUUCCGCUGGAGGCACUGUUCUACAAAGUUAUGGAAGUAAGUGGAGAAGGUCCGAAGAUAAGGGUGCAGGGUUGGCUCUCCAUUGGCUGCUCUCACGUUGCUAAUAGCCAUGCUCUCGCCCAUCCCGUAGUUAGCACUUGAACGGGAGGUCUUCAUAGUCAGCUCAUCAGCAGGAAUUGUGGUGGUGUCUAGCAGGCAGGGAACAGUUCCAUUCAGCUUUUCCAAGAGCAUCUGGAAGAGAAGGGGCAUAAGCAACAUCACACACAGUAAGACUAGACAGUUAAGAUUUCCCAUUCAGGUAAGCAUGGCACCCUUCUGUCUUCACAUUCCAGUGCAGCAAAGCAGUUCCAUGUGCCAGGAUGAAGGAUGAGAAAAGAGCUUUUAAACCUUACCUGAGUAGAAGGCAUGUCUUUAAAUGGUACGUGUCCAUUUGCCAGCUCACAGGCUGUUAUCCCUACGCUGUAAAUGUCAGAUUUUGCAUCAUAACCCUGGAGAUUCUAGAUGAAAAGGAAAAGAAAAAUUAGCCUUGUGGACUUACAUGUGAUUGCAUGGGCAAUACCCAUGAUUUGAUAUGCAGAAGAGCAAACCCAAAUGAUUGGAGCAGAAAUAGUACAACCCACAUAUAGGCUGGAUUAUUGUGGUGGUGGUUUUUUUGUUUGUUAAAACAAACAGUUAAGGGCAACAUUUAUUUAACUGAAAUCAGCUAUCUAGUAGAGAUGACAUCCACCUUAGUAGGGUAACUGGCAUCUAAUGUAACACUUUGCUAAUGGGAGACUCUGUAGAGGUACCUACAGGAAAACUAGUCAAAUAGAUCUGAUCAAAUUCUACCCACUCGCCCUGCACCUGUCCCAAAUCUGUUUCCUCUAGCCUCCCCCCCUUCCUUUUCCUUACAUUCGCACACCUUCCUCUGGAGGGAAAGAAAAGACAAUGUUGUAACAUGGGCUUCUCAGCAGUUGCCCUUUUUGACAGGAAUACAGGUUUCCCGUUGCUAGGGGUCACUGGUUUUAAGGUUAAAAGGAUAGGAAAAAAGGGUAGAGCUCGUCAUGAGAAAAAGUAACCCUGUGGCUUUUGUUUUGUUUCCCCCCGCCCUGCCCCCAAACAUGCCAUAAUAACUCAGAAAGUUAUACAGAUACCAUAUAUCACUAAAAACUAGCAGUUUUUUUUAAACACACCUGCUGCAAGACUUCAGGACUGAGCCAAGGCAGGACUUUGAUGCUGUAUUUGGGAAAGUCAUGAACAACUUUGAGUCGCUGCCCAUGGUUGAUCAUACUUAGAUUACUUCGCAGGCCAGAGAGGUACACCUUCCCGUCCACAGAGAUCAGGAUAUGGCUGGCUUUAACACUCCUGAAAAAAAGUAAAAAUAGUCAGGUUCCCUGGCCUCAAAGGACUUACGUUCCUUAUAGCUUUCCCAGGAAGACUUAGUGCAGAAGGGCACUACAAAGGAUUUAAGGCAGGCAUAGGUAAGCUGAAUUUCUUUUACAGUACAUACAAUAAAAGUAAUAACCACUAAUGACCUAGAACUUUCAGCAUCUGAAAUUUACUCUCACAACAGAGGAAUGUGUCAGAGAAGAGGAAAAAUAUGCUAAAGGGUGGAGACAGCGAUUUAGAAAGAGAUUAAGAAAAGCUGUAGUACUAAACAGAAAUUCAUCCUUAGUGAGCACCUAUGGAAAAGCUAAAAGCCUACUUUACUGGACAGCUCAAUGCACAGGACAAUACUUGAUCAGCCUCAGGAGACACUCAGGAGGCUGAGAUUCCUAAUGACCAUCCUGAAUGCUGUGCAAAACCACCUCUACAAACAUUAACAGGACUCUACACACCCGCUAUGCAGGUUCCCAAAGAAUGUUUCUGUGGCAAGAAGAAAUACAGGACUAAAGGUUACGGACCCAGGAUCUUCAACAGUAACCGGGAAAAUCCACCCUCCCAUCAGUGUCGGUCUCAAUUUGGAGAGUAUCAACAGUAUCUGAACAGAGCCUUAACAAGUCAGCAUGUCAACAUGAGCUGCAGUUGUGAUUUUAGAUACACAGUGGUAUUUGGGAUAAUUUUGUUCUACAGUGACACUUUCACACAGUUUAGUAAGAUCAAUGAUGUAAUUUCCCAUGAGUAUCAAACUGACUUGAUCUAACAGCAAAGUAAUACAAAACUUGAUAAUGCGUUCCACAUCAUUUGAACUAUCUACUCUAUUCUAAUGAUGAGCAGUAUUUCUGAGAACUUCCAACAGAGGGAAAAUGGAUCGCUUUUUUUUUUUUUUUAAAAUACCUAUGUACGUAGCCCAUAUGGUGGAUGUAGUCAAGUGCUUUCAAUACGCCUUGGAGGAUAUAUGCAAUAGCCAGUUCACUCAUCCCAUCCAUAAAAUGGGUACAGAUUAAAUCUUUUGCAGAACCUAAAAAGAAACAAACCACCUCUUAAUUGGUCAGAAAAGAACCCAAGGAUACUUCACCUCUUAAAUUUCAUUUCACAGAACAUGAUGGUCAGACAAAGGUAUUCCCUCUCCACCUACCGUACGCCAUGAAAGAUGUCACUACCCAUAGCUCAUUGUCAGCUAUGAAAGUUGCUUUGUAUGGCACAAUGUUAGGGUGGUUGAAGAGCUUGGAAACAUGAAGUUCCCCCUAAAAUAAAAAAAAGAUAUUUUGAUUCAAUUUAGUAAAUGCAGAAAUAUGAAUACAGUAUUGAUAAGCACUGCUCUUGCUGUCUGUCCUCUCCUAAACUUGCAUUAUGGUAUUAGUGGAUUCAUGUUACCUGCAAGAACGUGACCAUUUCGUUUGUACAGGCCUCCAAGUUCACUCUUCUGACUGUGACAUACUCUCCUGUGGGUUUAUACCUGGCCAGGUUCACAACCAUCAAGUCUUCAAAGCCUCUGCCUGAAAGAAAAGGCAUUAAAGCUUCAGCAAUACUUCUGGAGAACUCCUCCAGUCCUUGACCCUUAAAUAAUCUUUAUGCUCAUUUACUGAAACUAUUUUUGGCCUUGUGAAAAAGAGUAAUCAUUCCAUCAGAUACCACCUUCCUUGGCAUGUAUUCCAUCAAGAGAAAUCCUCCUAGCCAGUAAUAUUAUCCUGCCUUUCAAGUUCAGAACUGAGGUAGAAAUAAAAUGAUUAGCCCACAGCCCCAACAAGGACAGGGACAGGUUUCAGGCUGCUGCUUCUGACUUUGUACUUCUCACUCAGUAUCAUUAACCCACCACAUGCCUCUUUCAGUUCAAAGCCUUUAGGACUGGCAUCUCAUUUUCUAUUGAAGUGUUUUUAAAAUCAAAGAGGACAGGCAUUUAAUUAAAAAAUAAGCAAUCAAUCAAGAAAAGGCCAACAAAUCUGCAGAAGUUAUUUUCUUUGCAAAACAGACUUUCAAUCCUCCAGCCUGCUAGUAGUAUUACCUAUGAUAGUGAGCAACUCAUAACAGCUGCUGUCUGGUAGGAAGUUGCUCAUGGUGUCCCUUUUAGGGGAAGAAGCUAUCGACUCGGAGCUCGCCUCAUUUGUCUGGGGGGAAAAAAAAAAAAAGUCAAGUCAGAAGAAGUAAAGAUCACAUGCUAGAAAAAAUCAUCUGCUCCUUAUAUUAUCAUACACCUCAAAAUAAUAUGACAGUACUGAAUAUAGAAGAGAGAAUUUAAUUGCUGUUAAAAUAAUUUUAAAUAGUUAUUUAUCAAUUGAAAUCCAGGAGAUGCCUCAUUUCAGAAGAUCCAGUCAUCUGUGUUUCAAAACAUGUAACCAUAACAGGUAGGUUCUUAAUUACUGUAAGCUAGAAUUUCUUUACAAAUAUUUGGAUAAAGCCAAUUACUAUUCCCCAAGACACCUUAAGCACUGCUUUAUAGUAACUACCUUUCUCCCAUUAAUUACAAACUUCUGUGCCACCAUCCUGUUGCCUGAGCAAAGGCCAUCAAAGGAAAGCUUGUUUAUAGCACUUGUCUGCAUUGUGGCAGUCACCAUUCCUGUCUGAUGCUGGGGCUUCUUGUUUUCAGCUGCUCAUCUGUGAUAAGACCAGCGCAGCUGAAGCUGCUUAGCUGAAUGGUAGAAGUGAUGAACCAACUUAGCCCAAGAUAUGAAGAUCAGACACACAUGAAAAGAGAAGCUCCAAAUGAAAGCAAAAACUUAACUGCAAAGCAUUAGUGCUUACAGGAAAAAGAAAAAAAAAAAAAAAAAACCAAAACAAAAAACCACACCACACAGGGAAGCACCACUCCCAAGCCUGUCAGCUUUUCUUCACUACAUCUGACAUAAAGCUGCUUUAUUUACAUACACAUAACCUUUCAAAGCAGGAUUUUGCAGAAGACAAACUUCAAUGUUCUUGCAAGUUCCAUUACACCUUCCAACUCCCUCAAAUUUUCAAAGUCAGAAGGAGAGCAUCCUAAUGGGGAACCAAAUUUAUUUGGUGUCUAAGAUAAGAUUUAGUUAUCUCAAAUUUCCAGCACAUUAACUCCUCCUGACAUUUGAAACUCCAGCUCAUUUCUUCCACCUCAUUCUUCACCAACUGCAAAUGCCCUUUAUCAGACCUUUUCUCAUGGUACAUGAAGCAGAAAAUGCUUGUGCAUUUUCCUAGAGUGACAGCAAAUACUCUUUUUCCAUCACUGAAAGAUGGAAACAACACAGUGACAGCUGAAAAACAAGGAACUUGCUGUUCUACACUCAGUCCAGGGUAAAUGUAGUGCAAUGAGCACAGAUGUGAAUUUGCCGUAAAUUACCUUUGUGUCCCUAACUAUACUUUGGGAGUAAGCUAAUAGUCAGGCUUCCCAAGUUCUACCUUUUCAAAUGACUUUGAACAGCACACAUUUUACCUCUCUCUGCCUACCUUUAAAAUAGGUAUAUUUUUCAGUUAAGGGAAAAGGCAAAAUUUAAGGUUUGUGAACAGUGCUAUGGUGUAAUUUCAGCUCAAACAACUCUAGCACAGCAGCUCAGUCCUGUUUGAGGAUAGCUAACCCCUGAGAUCUCAGCAAUCCCAAAUCCUUUUUGUCUAGUCCUACUAGCACACUAUACAGUGCUGUUCCUUGGCCGAGAACAGGCAGCAACUUUCCAUUCAUGAUUUCAAACUUCUGUUAAAGAUGCCUGUCAAUUCUGAUCUCAGUUGUAUCAUUCAUUACUUCUUCCAGCAAUUUCACACAGUCCUGUCAACAGCAAGAUUGCCAGGAGAGACACACAGGAAGAUGGAAACCUCUGAAGCAGAAAGGCACCACCAAGGAAAUGAAAGCAGGAGGCUCUGAUAAAGCAGCGUUAUGGAGCAAUGACAGCUGGUGAAACACUGAGCAAUAUGUAAGUGGUUUGCUUUAUUAAAAGUCCACUCCAAAUAUAGCAUAAGCCAACAAAACAGAUGCAAAAAAUUAAAUUUAAUCUUAUUAAUGGUGUAGACUGUUUCAACAGUAAUGGAAAAAUACUGUAAAUUCCCUUUUUAAAAGUCUUCCAGUACAUCAGAGGUCUUCACUCACCUCUCUUCAUGUUAGCAGUGACCGAUAACUGAGAGUUAAUACAAAAGGAGCUCUACCAGAAAUUUAUCAACAUCAUACAAGAGUUUAAAAAAAAAAAAGUUAAACUGAAAUGUCAUUUAUGAAAUACUGAAAAAAAGCUCCUCAGUGGUUUCACACAGGACAACUUUUGGUGUAUGGUCAAAAGCAAAAGCAGCUGCAAAAUGAAGUCACAUAUGACUAGCUUUAUGGCAUGACAUUCAUUAAGAGGUAGCUUUCCAGCUUGUUGGUCUGAUUUUAAUUUGAGAUAGAUUUAAGGAAAUUAAUCUUUGAAAGGCAACUACUGUUAUAAAUGCCAUAAGAAAAUCAGUUAUGUGAUGCUAGCAAGGAUCUGCAUUUGCCAAAUGACAUUCAUCCGAGUCAGGAAGAGGGAAUAUAAUAUUUGUUCUGCUGCCUUCCUCUCCACCUCCUCGUUCCCUCACUCACUUUCAGCAUGAGCAACAAAAAUUUUCCUCCUGUCCCUCUCCCCAGAUUAUUUACCUUUUUCUAUAGCCCUGCUGGAAGAAGUAAGCUUUUAUUUAGAUGUAAAAAUCAAAAUGAGAGUCAGCAAUACCACUGCAAAAGUGUUCAAACCCCAAGUGAAUACUUUAACAAAAACAAAACAGAUGCUAAUCUCAAUUUGCUUCCAAUUCAGCAUAUGUGUAACACUCAGCAAUUUAAAAAAAGGUGUGAAUUUGCUUGACUUUAUACAAAACAUUCCAUAUACAUCUCAGAUUUUCAGCAUUGUUUGUGCCAGUAAAUUACAGACACUGGCACAAAAAUCAAUUAUAAGCAGCUUGAACUGACACAGUUACUAUAAUCAAAUCACACUUAAUUCACAUUUGUAAUUAGCUUAAACUAGAGCGACACCUGCACACAGAAGUGUUUCAAUAUGGUAUAUUGAAGGUAGGUGGGAAAUCAUUUAGACAAAUACAUGCUAUCAUAAGUUGUGUUAUUCUAUGAGCAUUGCUCAUUAUGAACAGAUAGUGUGCAAUCAGGGCCUACAGAACAAAAAGCAUCAAGGUAAAGUUUUCAACUGCCACAUUUUGGCUGUACAUUUUUGAACAGACAUGCCAUGUUUGCUAGUGAUUUUAGUUUUUAAGAGGCAAAGCUCUCUAAGCAUGCAUGGAAUUGGCUCCAAGGACAACCAGACAACAGGACGUAAAGUGACCUCAAACUGAAAAUUACAUGAUGUUUGGUUUUGAUGUUGGAGCCUCUGUUGUGGCUGCUCUACAGGGAAGAGAAAGGAAAUCAGAAUCGAUGUGUUCAAAAGGGAACACUGGUUUUGACAUAAAAUUUUUUGGGCCUAGUUUUCAGAAGUCCCAUAAACUUGUUGUAAGAGAUUAGCAUCUCUGAAGAAUCAGUUCUAAAUCAUCUCAAAAAAGAGACCCUUGUGGGACUGGGGGGAGGGGGGACGAUGACACAAAUACAAAUCCAAGAGAUUACGUUUGAAGUUUUGACUUGUCACAUAUAGUUUGAAAACCACACACCAAAAUUUUCACUCCAGGGUGAAACCUGUUUCCACACUUGUAGAGCUAAAUAUAGAGAUGAAAUAUAUAACUAAGAUAAAAAGAAAAAUCAAACUUCCACAAGGAAUAAUCUCCAUGCAAUGAACCACAGCACCACAGCCUGCAAAAGUCACUUACUUUUCUCCGAGAGUCACCCGGAGGCUGCUCUGGAGUAAAGAAAUUAAUUGUUCACCAUGUUGUGUUCAACAGAUACCCAUUAAAAAUAUAGUUGGAAAACUGA